CGAACGCAGGACAACAAUAGAUAUCUUGCUAUCUUGCGUCGAGCGGCGGACGGGUGAUUAAUACUUAGGAAUCUACCUAAUAGGGGGGGAUAGCUCGGGGAAACUCGAAUUAAUACCGCAUACUUCCUACGGGAAAAAGGGGGGGAUCAUUAAACCUUGCGCUAUUAAAUGACCCUAAGUCGGAUUACCUAUAUGGGGGGGUAAAGGCCUACCAGGGCAACAAUCUGUAGCUGGUCUGAAAGGAUGAUCAGCCACACCGGGACUGAAACACGGCCCGGACUCCUACGGGAGGCAGCAGUGGGGAAUAUUGGACAAUGGGGGGAACCCUGAUCCACCCAUGCCGCGUGUGUGAAGAAGGCCUUUUGGUUGUAAAGCUCUUUAAGCAGUGAAAAAAACUCUUCGGUUAAUACCCGGGGACGAUGACUUUAUCUGCAAAAUAAGCACCGGCUAACUCUGUGCCACCACCCGCGGUAAUACAGAGGGUGCAAGCGUUAAUCGGAAUUACUGGGCGUAAAGCGAGCGUAGGUGGCUUGAUAAGUCAGAUGUGAAAUCCCCGGGCUUAACCUGGGAACUGCAUCUGAAACUGUUAGGCUAGAGUAGGUGAGAGGAAAAUAAAAUUUCGGGUGUCCGGUGAAAUGCGUAAAUAUCUGAAGGAAUACCGAUGGCGAAGGCACCUUCCUGACUUCAUACUGACACUGAGGCUCAAAGCGUGAGUACCAACAGGAAUAGAUACCCUGAUACUCCACGCCGUAAACGAUGUCUACUAGUCGUUGGGUCCCUUGAGGACUUAGUGACGCAUCUAACGCAAUAAAUACACCGCCUGGGGCAGUACGGCCGCAAGGUUAAAACUCAAAUGAAUUCGACGGGAGCCCGCACAAGCGGUAGCAGCAUGUGUUUUAUUUCGAUGCAACGCGAACACCUUACCUGCUCUAGACUACACGGAUCUUGUAGAGAUACAGAGUGCUUCGGUACUUGUGAUACAG
rnacentral:rRNA from 1 species